rnacentral:rRNA from 1 species
CCUACGGGAGGCAGCAGUGGGGAAUCUUGCGCAAUGGGCGAAAGCCUGACGCAGCCAUGCCGCGUGAAUGAUGAAGGUCUUAGGAUUGUAAAAUUCUUUCACCGGGGACGAUAAUGACGGUACCCGGAGAAGAAGCCCCGGCUAACUUCGUGCCAGCAGCCGCGGUAAUACGAAGGGGGCUAGCGUUGCUCGGAAUUACUGGGCGUAAAGGGAGCGUAGGCGGAUAGUUUAGUCAGAGGUGAAAGCCCAGGGCUCAACCUUGGAAUUGCCCUUGAUACUGGCUAUCUUGAGUACGGAAGAGGUAUGUGGAACUCCGAGUGUAGAGGUGAAAUUCGUAGAUAUUCGGAAGAACACCAGUGGCGAAGGCGACAUACUGGUCCGUUACUGACGCUGAGGCUCGAAAGCGUGGGGAGCAAACAGGAUUAGAUACCCUGGUAGUCCACGCUGUAAACGAUGAGUGCUAGUUGUCGGCAUGCAUGCAUGUCGGUGACGCAGCUAACGCAUUAAGCACUCCGCCUGGGGAUACGGUCGCAAGNUUAAAAACUCAAAAUGAAAUUGACCGG